UCUUUCUUUUCAUCGUCUUCUUCCUUUUUCUUUCUUUCUCUCUCUCUUUCUCUUUCUACCUCCAUUCUUUCCCCUCUCUUAUUUCUUCCCCAAACAUCUUCGAACCCUAGCCCCCCAAAUUCACGGCAACAAGAAAAGCUCGUCGACAGCGACGAGUUGCUCUCUGAUUUAAUUGAGUGCCGUGAUAUUUCUGAGAUUACGGGCUGAGGUUUCGUCAUUGCUUACGAGAGGAAGAGCUGAUCUUUCGGCCGACCUCACCCCACCUGUAUAUAUAAGGACAACUUCACAACCCGAAUCCCCAAUUCUAUUCUCUCAUCGAUCUCUCCUCUUCUUCCUCAUCAAAUUUCUCCAAGUUCUCAUCUCAACAGACGCGCUCCCCCAAGGGGUGUAAUGAGACGGUCGGUGACUGAGUUUGCCGGAGUGAUUAGCAGAGCACUGCUCGCCGUGUCCAAUCAAACGCUACCAACGCGGCCAUGGACACCGUCGCUAGAGCAAACCCUCCACCAACUCGGCUGCCGGGACUCACUGAGUCCGGUCCUUGUUGCCCGAGUUAUCGACCCGUUCCUCCUCAAUCAUCACUCCCUCGCUUUUGGGUUCUUCAACUGGGCGUCUCAACAACCGGGGUUCUCCCAUACUUCCGCCACUUAUCAAUCCGUUA